CCUACGGGGGGCUGCAGUAAGGAAUAUUGGUCAAUGGAGGAAACUCUGAACCAGCCAUCCCGCGUGAAGGAUGAAGGGGCUCUGCCUUGUAACCUUCUUUUGUCUGGGGCGAAAAAGCUCGAUUUAUCGAGAACUGACGGUACCAGAAGAAUAAGCACCGGCUAACUCCGUGCCAGCAGCCGCGGUAAUACGGAGGGUGCAAGAGUUAUCCGGAAUAAAGGGUGUGAAGGCGGGCGUGUAAGUCAGAGUUGAAAGGCCGGGGCUUAACCAUGGAAUUGCCAUUGAUACUGCAGAGCUUGAAUGAGGUUGAGGUUGGCGGAAUGUGACAUGUAGCGGUGAAAUGCUUAGAUAUGUCAUGGAACACCGAUUGCGAAGGCAGCUGACUGGACCUAUAUUGACGCUGAGGCACGAAAGCGUGGGGAGCGAACAGGAUUAGAUACCCGUGUAGUC
rnacentral:rRNA from 1 species